CCAUAAUAAAAAAAAAAAGGAAAGGGAAAACCGAAGUUCGCGCUGGUCAAUCUCCAUCCUCCUCAUUUUGUUCUUCUUCAUCAAUUCAUUUGAUCUCCCCUCCAGCCAUUGCGCUUCUAUAGCAAAAUCCUCAUAGGAACCUUGUUGAAAAUUUGGACAUGAACCAAAAAUGCUAUGGAAGCUUUUGUGCAUGCCCAUGAUCCCUUGAUAUAAUGCAAUUUAUUGUUGAUUUUGAUAGUGUUGUUCUUGCAAAAUUGCAUCUAUCUUUGGUUUGAUGGUUCCUCUAUGGGAAGGUUAGGAAGAUGGACCAACAUCUUCAAACUUCUUCCUUAGCUCAUCUUUAGCAUAUGCAAUGCUUCAUUCUUUGCAAUAAGUGUGGACGUAGGAGACAUUUAAUUUUAAUUUUAAAGCCAUAACCUCCCCAUAUGGGCUAGGUGCUUGUUGGUACCUACAAAAAUUAGUAAUAAAGGAAGGCAAAAUCAUAGAAGAUACUCCCCUUGUGAUGCAUUCUAAAAUUGCAUCAAAAUUGAUGGCAGCAAUGUCUACGGAGUCAUCUUAAUAGAUUGAGUUGAUGAGUUUGGCUUUGUCAAUUGUGAUGUCUAAAACAUGUACAGAUAUCCAAAUGUUAGAUAACAAAAAAGUGGUCCAUAUCUGAGACAUCUGAGUCAUGCAAAACUUGAACACUGGACCACUUUUGUUGACCUACAGUCCUUGCAGGCAUAGGCUUCUUCUAACCAUAGCUUCAUCAUGUCCUACUCAUUCAACAGAUAAAGUUGCACUUAUCUUUUCUUGGUAAGCACAUAAGUCGUGUUCAUUACUUGGAUAAGGAGUACAUGUGUUGUCAAGGUAGUCAUUAAUCAUGUACUUAUCAUAAUAUACUUGUUCUCCAUUAACCCAUAUAUAUCGAUUUGCCCUUGCUUCACUUGAGACAAUUGAUUUGACAUAAAAUUGCUUGACAAUAUCCAAAGAGAACAUAUUAUUGGGUUGUGCAACAUUUUUCCAUCCAUACUUGUCAACAAGAAGUUGAACCCACCGAAUUCUUCUUCUUCUUCUAAAGUGACAAUAUUUUCCAAGAUUGGUGCACUUUUGAGAGUAAUCUCCUUGAACUUUUGAUUUGCUUCUUUAGAGAAAAAUGUUUUGCCUUUGGAGGUUAAUUUAGACUCUUUGGCAACCUCCUUGCCUUUCCUUGAAGAAUGCCUUUCACUCAUACAAAAUUUUAUUAACAUGCAAUUUCCAAUGCUAGGAGUUAGUCACAUAAAUUCAAGACAUAAUUAAUCAAAUUGGCACACAAGUUUUCCAUGCUCCAUACGGUUUCUUAUUAAAUUCAAGGUGUAAAAGUGUUUCAAAAAUUUUGUGUGUGAAGUUUUAUUUUGAUCAAAAUAACCCCAUAAUCACACUUUUUCAACCAAAGAAUCAUAUUUUCAACACUUUCACAAAAAGUACUCCAAGUAAAAAAAUUCAAGAUCAUUGCUUGUAGUAUGAAUUCCCAAACAGCCACAUACUCAAAUUGAUGCAUCAAAGCAGAAUUAUUUGAUGUUUCUUAAGGCUAUUGGUUCAUGAAAAAUUAGCAAUACAAGACAAAGUUUACAAGGAAAGUGCAAGUUUUUCCAAGGUAGUCAAUUUUGAGCAAUUAUCGACAUUUUUAUUGUUGUUUAUGGAAUGUUUUAAAUGUGUUUCAUGCCAAAUCAAAUCAUAUUUAAAGCCACAAAACAAAUUUCAAUGUGGUUUAAACUUUUGAUAUUUUGAACAUGAUUUUAGCUACAAACUUAUUCGACUUACCAAGUAUUUUCAUCAUCUGGUUGAACCACUUUUCGAACAUUUUGGCUAGCGAAACAACAACCCCUUUUUCAUUCUUUUAUGCAUCAUGAACUAAGUUAAGUUAAGUUAAAAGUGGUCACAAAUUUUGUGAUUCAACCAAAUGCAUAAUGUGAGAUAAUCUAGAAAAAAUUUCAAAGUCAAAACAUAGAUUUUUUUACUUUGUGAAAAUUUUCACGUGAGCUUAGUUUAGUCAUGUCUUAAAAACAGCAAACACGCAUAUUCAUAUGCAAAAAUAAGUAAAAGCAAGCAUUAUGUAUAUAUUCUUCACAAGAGUUCAAGAAUAUAAAGUUUUAUAAUUGUUGAUUUGAGAUUUUGUUUGAAAAAAAAAAUUAAUUUUGUUUUUUAGAAAAUUUCAAAAAAAUAUUUGUUUCAAGGAAGAACAUAAAAUGACAAAAAUCAAAGCUUCAUAAGAAGAAGAUUGAGAUACUUACAUAAUGAGAGAAUGAAAUUUGAACUUUUUGAGAGCUUUUGGAGAGAAGGGAAAAGAUAUCAAAAUGAGAGUUAUUAGUCCUAGGAAGUGAGUCAAGU
rnacentral:lncRNA from 1 species